AAGACUAUACUUUCAGGAAUCAUUUCUAUAGUUUCUUACCAGAGAAGUUUCUCUUGCUGUUUAGAGUAUUGGGAAAAAUGUU
ensembl:snoRNA U3 Small nucleolar RNA U3